rnacentral:rRNA from 1 species
UACGUAGGGUGCGAGCGUUAAUCGGAAUUACUGGGCGUAAAGCGUGCGCAGACGGUUGCGUAAGUCAGAUGUGAAAGCCCCGGGCUCAACCUGGGAAUUGCAUUUGAGACUGCGUAGCUAGGGUGCGGAAGAGGGAAGCGGAAUUUCCGGUGUAGCGGUGAAAUGCGUAGAUAUCGGGAGGAAUACCAGUGGCGAAGGCGGCUUCCUGGCCUGUUCUUGACGCUGAGGCGCGAAAGCUAGGGUAGCAAACGGG